rnacentral:misc_RNA from 1 species
AACCUAAUAGGAAUAUGAAACUAUUAGUUAGAAAUUUUAGCUAAACUUAAAUACAAUAGGAAAUUAGAAAUAAAAUAGGAAUUAACCUAAUCUUAGAUAGAAUAAGAAAACAUAAAUCAAUAAUCCAACUAAUGAUUGGAAAACUUUUAGGACCUAUUUUGUAGUAAGGAAAAGGGAGAGGAAAAUGGUAGGGGAAGGGAAAAAAAUUACAGUUCUCUUGUUUUGUUGGAAGGAAAAAGGAAGAAGGAAAAAACUUGAAAAGUACAAUUCCCCUGUUUUGUAAGAAGGAAAAGGGGAAAGGAAAAAAAAAAUUAUGAGGACUUGUGUGGAAAAUGCUUAAAGAGUAUUUUGAGUCAUUUUGUUUUUUGUUAAAAUUGUGGGGAAAACGGAACAAUUUUUUUUUUCUGAUUUUUCUCUAUACCCCUUUUUCCUCCCAAUAGUUUUUUUUUUUUUCAUAUAAUUUUAUUUAUUUAAUGCGAACAUAAUAGUAAAUAUAAAAAAAUUCUCUCCUUGUCUUUUCAUGAAAAUAUGAAAAAUAAAUAAAUCACUUCUUUUUCUUUCCUUUUCCUAUAAAAAAGAUUUGUAUGGAAAAUAAUAAUUUCCCUUUCCAUAGGAAUUAUACUUUUCCUUAUAAUUCCACUCACUUUUCUUUCUACAAAACAAGGCCUUAGACUAAUUCUAAACUAAUUCCACAGCUAUCCCUCGAUAAAUAGGAAGUCCAAAGUGAAUUAUGAUUGAUGGAGAUAAAUUUGGACCAAUCUAGACUCCUUCAUGUUGCUGGACAGU